rnacentral:rRNA from 1 species
UACGAAGGGUGCUAGCGUUGUUCGGAAUUACUGGGCGUAAAGCGCGCGUAGGCGGCUUUUCAAGUCAGGGGUGAAAUCCCACAGCUUAACUGUGGAACUGCCUUUGAAACUGUAAAGCUUGAGUGUCGGAGGGGAUAGCGGAAUUGCUAAUGUAGAGGUGAAAUUCGUAGAUAUUAGCAGGAACACCGGUGGCGAAGGCGGCUAUCUGGACGACAACUGACGCUGAGGCGCGAAAGCGUGGGGAUCAAACAGG